rnacentral:tRNA from 1 species
GAGUCAAGUCCCUCUAUCCCCA